UGUAAAUCACAUCAUUCAGAGUAAUACAUCCAAAUUCAUCCAUUUGUUUUGUAACUGUUCAAGUUAAACCACUAUGAACUUCUACUUGACAGAGAAGAUACCAAAAGACAUUUGGCUCAGAUCCUUUCCAAGUUGGGGAGUUUACUGCACAAGAUCGACAGACAAAUAGAGAAGUGUAGUCAUAUUUUUGGAGUCCUGGGCUUCGAUCCACCUAAAAGCAAAAAGGAAUACAAGGGAGUGCAUAAGAAUGAGGAAUCAGUCCAAGUUGCUUUUCCAUCACUUUCCACUGGCUGAAACUUCUUUUGAGCUGAGAAGAUCUUCUCCACUCAUGGGAUGCUCCAUACAGCAGACAAGAACCUAGGAUCCAAGCCAGUAUAGAAAGGAUUCCAAUGACUGUGCAAUACAAAAGUGUAAUGAAAAAAGCAUCUACAGUACAAACUCCAAAAUCACAGAUAUAUUAGUUUAAUCCCAUAUGUUUGUAAAAUUUCCAUAGAAGAAGACCAAACAUAGUAAGGAGAUUCCACUUGUCUACCAUAGCUGAUCUUACAUGAAAAUAUUUUGUUUCUUCAAUCUCUGCCAUUUUUCCUCUCUUAGCUAAUCAGUGCUUUAAUCCAGGAGGGUUCUUGCUUCACCAUUUACUGGGUAUAAAUAUCUUCUAGGCUUAUCCCAAAAUAAAGAUUCUUUAUGAUUUAC